rnacentral:rRNA from 1 species
CAGCAGCCGCGGUAAUACGUAGGGUGCGAGCGUUAAUCGGAAUUACUGGGCGUAAAGCGUGCGCAGGCGGUUUUGUAAGACAGGCGUGAAAUCCCCGGGCUCAACCUGGGAAUGGCGCUUGUGACUGCAAAGCUAGAGUGCGGCAGAGGGGGAUGGAAUUCCGCGUGUAGCAGUGAAAUGCGUAGAUAUGCGGAGGAACGCCGAUAGCGAAGGCAAUCCCCUGGGCCUGCACUGACGCUCAUGCACGAAAGCGUGGGGAGCAAACAGGAUUAGAUACCCCCGUAGUCCCUGUCUCUUAUAC